rnacentral:rRNA from 1 species
CCUACGGGAGGCAGCAGUAGGGAAUAUUCCGCAAUGGGCGAAAGCCUGAUGGAGCGACGCCGCGUGAGCGAUGAAGGUCUUCGGAUCGUAAAGCUCUGUUGUUAGGGAAGAACAAGUACCGGAGUAACUGCCGGUACCUUGACGGUACCUAACCAGAAAGCACCGGCUAACUACGU